CACCGCGGUUAUACGGGGGGCCCAAGCUGACAAACAUCGGCGUAAAGAGUGGUUACGGACCAACCCCACACUAAAGUCAAACACCCCUCCCGCUGUUAUACGCAUCCAGGGACAGGAAGCUCCACCACGAAAGUGACUUUAACAUCUCUCCCGAACCCACUACAGCUAGGGAA
rnacentral:rRNA from 1 species